UACGAGGGGGGCGAGCGUUGUUCGGAAUUAUUGGGCGUAAAGGGCGCGUAGGCGGUCGGAUAAGUCUUGUGUGAAAUCUUCGGGCUCAACUCGAAGUCUGCACAGGAAACUAUCUGGCUUGAGUGUGGGAGAGGUGAGUGGAAUUCCAUGUGUAGCGGUGAAAUGCGUAGAGAUUAGGAAGAACACCAGUGGCGAAGGCGACUUACUGGACUGUAACUGACGCUGAGGCAUGAAAGCGUGGGGAGCAAACAGG
rnacentral:rRNA from 1 species